rnacentral:lncRNA from 1 species
CUGUUUCAGCAUUGCUUGUUCAUUUAAGGGGAACUUAGCAACGCAAAUGUCACCAUUAUUCUGCAUGGAAAACGCAGUCCAGAAGGCAAAAUUGUUAUAGUUAUAUCUGAUAUGUGGUGAAUAACAUAUCGUUAUACGUUUUUUUUUC